AUUAGCAUAUUUCAUAACUAUAGCUAACACUAGCUAGCUAAGUUAAACUGCUGGCCAAAAGUAUUGGCACCCCUGCAAUUCUGUCAAAUAAGGAGAUGGACUUGUAGCCUUGAGAUUGCCCAUGCUUUUUCACAAUUUGUUUCUCAAGUCCUCAGACAGUUCUUUGGUCUUCUUUUUUUUUUCUCCAUGCUCAAUGUGGUACACAAAAGGACACACGACAGAGGUUGAGUCAACUUUAAUCCAUUUUAACUGGCUGCAAGUGUGAUUUAGUUAUUGCCACCACCUGUUAUGUGCCACAGGUAAGUAACAAGUGCUGUUAAUUACACAAAUUAGAGAAGCAUCACAUGAUUUUUCAAAGUGUGCCAAUUAUUUUGUCCGGCCCAUUUUUGGAGUUUUGUGUAAAAAGAUGAUAUUGAUGUUUUUUUCUCCAUUCUCAUUUGUGUUUUUUUCCUUGCAAGCAAAAUAAAUGAAGAUAUAACUACCAAAGCAUUUGUAAUUGCAAUCAUUUUCUGGGAGAAAUUGAGUAUUAUCUGACAGAAUUGCAGGGGUGCCAAUACUUUUGGCCAGCAGUGUAGCUCCAUAGCAUUACUGUAUAUGUAGUGUUUGUGUUUUUCUUUAUAUACAUAGCUACGUAUUGAUUCAUUGAAAUAAUUACGCUUAUGUUUCCUUACCCAAGGUGGCAUGGCUGCUAGAUACCCAGCUGAAAUGGUCCUAGAGAUGCUGGAUGAUGGAGAGGCAGUAACAGAAUUGGACCCGAGAGUCAGAAAUUUCUAAUGAUGUAUUGUCCAGGUUGAAGUGGCAGUCAUCCACCUGGAAAUCAAACUGAAAAGGAUAGAUUUGUCACACAGGAUUCCACUUAUGUGUCCUCAGAAGAAGGAAGUGUCCUAAUCUUGUCCUCUGAAAAGGAAAGUGUCCAAAUCUUGGCCAACCGAAUGACUUAGUUACUUCCCACCCAGAGCAGAGAGCCACAAUAUCCUCAGAUGUCGGUCAGGGCCUGCACAAGAACUUAGCACCACUGUCAAAAGUGUUAAAAAGUAAAAACUAAACAUCUCAAUCAUGAAAUUAUUCUCGUGUGGUCCUUAAUAUAGUCCUAAAUAUUAUACAAGUGAUUAUUCUUUACCGAAAUGACAUAAAAACACAUUUAUUCUAGUAUUGGUCAUUUUUGACCCACUUAUGGAAGAGUGUAGGGUCCAGUCACUUGUGCAUCCGAAUGAGUUAAGCUCAUUAACUGCUGUUGAUUGUGAUAGACUGAUGGUGUUUAAAUUAAGUGGAUGCCUAUUGCUGUCAAUGGCACUGAAGCAUGGUCAUUCAAUGCCAGCCUGACCCGUAAAAUUUUUUUGGACCUCUAUCGCUGUCAGUGGCAGUGAAUGAGUUAGUCUUGUAUAAUGAUCGUACUUGCACCAUUCUGCUUUAUAGGAUAGAAACUAGCGAUUUAAUGGAAGUCUUGGGUCAAUGAAAGAACAUACUAUAGAAAUGAGGGCCACCAUUUUCCUCGAAUCCUUUGCGUGUGAUGUUUCACUGCCAAGCUGUAAGUAUUGACCAGCCUUGAUCCUGUGACAACACUUCUUAGCUGGUCCCGACCUACGAAUCGAUAUCAGUCCUAGUGCAGUGAUAGCAGGGCGCUCAAAGAGGAAUGUCAUAUCCACUUUGAAAAUUCUGUUCAUGUCAACAGAGGAAAAAUGCAGGAUGUGUGUGUGGUUGAAAUCCCCUUGGAGCAGGAACAAAACUUUUGGAAGGCAAAGGAACGACCAUGAAAUUGGUCUGUGGAUUCGGAUAAAGGUGCAACGAUUUCCAUCAAAGAAGUCCAUCAUGGCGGAUGUAGAAUCAAGCCAGUGCCUCAAUGCUCCGUACCACAAACCAUGGGUGCUCGUAAUACCGGAGGGAAGGAGACGUCCAAACUGAAGGCAACCUUAGGUUAUGGCCGUUCAUGUCUGACGCUGUCAUAUGGAAGGUAUGUGCUCCAAAAAUACGAAACAUAAAAUCUGCCGCAUGAAAUGACUUG